rnacentral:rRNA from 1 species
ACGCACGCUGGCGGCGUGCCUAAUCCCUGCACGUAGAACGCUGAAGGAGGAGCUUGCUCUUCUGGAUGAGUUGCGAACGGGUGAGUAACGCGUAGGUAACCUGCCUGGUAGCGGGGGAUAACUAUUGGAAACGAUAGCUAAUACCGCAUAACAGUAGAUGUUGCAUGACAUUUACUUAAAAGGUGCAAUUGCAUCACUACCAGAUGGACCUGCGUUGUAUUAGCUAGUUGGUGGGGUAACGGCUCACCAAGGCGACGAUACAUAGCCGACCUGAGAGGGUGAUCGGCCACACUGGGACUGAGACACGGCCCAGACUCCUACGGGAGGCAGCAGUAGGGAAUCUUCGGCAAUGGACGGAAGUCUGACCGAGCAACGCCGCGUGAGUGAAGAAGGUUUUCGGAUCGUAAAGCUCUGUUGUAAGAGAAGAACGAGUGUGAGAGUGGAAAGUUCACACUGUGACGGUAUCUUACCAGAAAGGGACGGCUAACUACGUG